ACGGCGCACGGAAACGCAGGGGAGCCUGCACCGGCUGACGGCGGCGGAAAAGGGCGAACGAAGCGCCUGAGGGCCCUGGCAGCACUCACCAGGGUCGUUCCAGCCCAGGGCAGGGCCCGCGGUCAGCAGAAACAAAUGCAAGCCGAGGAGCAAGCAGUACCCGGCCGCUCCCGGCCCGCAGGCUGCGGCCAUGGCGCUCGAUGAAGAUGGCGCCGGGCUGCCAGACGCCUACGGGCCGAACCUGGGUGCGGUAGCGCGCGCGACGCUGCGCAGCUACACCGCUACCCCUGGCGGCGGCGAAGGAACGGCCCGACUGCAGAGCUGCAGCCGCAACGGAUCCGUGCGCCAACCCUACGUCACUGCCGCUGCGGCCCGUGGGGCUCAGUGAGUGGCCGCCGUGGGCCCCCGCCCCUGGAGCACAGCGCGGCUUGGGGCGGGGCGAGGCGGUGUGGGCGGGGCCAAGGGCCUGGGGAGGCACGGCUGGAGGCGGGUUGGAGGCGUGGCGCCGCGGUGUGGGCGGGGCCGAGGGCCUGUCGCCGCCGCGCCCGCGGGCGGGGCGAGGGCAGCGCGCAGCUUUGUUGUGUCUCGUCUGAGAUUCGGGAAGCUUCUGUGCGUAGGCGAUGCAGUUUGAGAGGCUGAAAACGUCACGACGCGAAAUCUAAGAAAUGUAGUCAAAUUAUGUAUUAUUAAAACCUCAAUAAUUGUACCAA
ensembl:lncRNA novel transcript, antisense to TMEM66